GGUCCUGUGUGUAGCUCAACUGGUAGAGCAUGGCAUUAACAUCGCCUGGGUCUGCGGUUCGAUUCCUAAUGGGGCCA